AUGGGAAGUUUUUAUUUAAUUGGGGGGUGGACAUGGUUUGUCAUAUUGCAUUGUGUCAAAGAAGGUAAAGCUUUUAUUCUAUUCUUUUCAAAAAGGUUUCAGAGGGUUUUUAGUACUCAAUACAUAUUUCCUAUCUUUUCUUUCUUUUUAACUCACAGUUGCUGGAUAUUCAUUUUCUGUGAAAUUAUAAUUAGUGAUAUUUCUAGAAAGAAUAAUAUUGAGUUUUGUAUUGCACCUGUCACCCUUGAGUUCUCUGCAGAUGUUUUUAGCAAGAUGGAUGAUAAGACACUAUUGCCAGACACUGAUUUUAAAGGCAUCAGAGUUUUCUCGGAGAUCUGAGUUCAGGAGAGGAAAAAACAAACAAACAACUAUCAUUUUAUUGUUGAAAAGCAAAUGACAGAUAAGUGGACUCCAAGAAAAAUCCAGAAAACAUAGAUAUUCUACUAGAAUUCCUGGGAUUAGAUAAAUCAAUUGGUUGAAAGUAAGUCAAUAAUUUUCUGCUCAACAGUUUUGAUAAACUUGCCUCCUAAUUUUGAAAUAAGUGACUUUAAAUUGUGUGUAAUUUUAAUUCAUUUCUACUUCUUUUUAAGAACUGUCAUAAGUUCAUGUGUCUUUUGACGCAUGAAAAGAUGCUCAACAUCACUCAUCAUCAGGGAAAUACAAACCACAAGUACAAUGAGAUAUUACCUCAUACCCGUCAGAAUGGCUAAAAUUAACAACACAGGAAACAAUAGAUGUUGGUGAGGAUGUGGAGAAGGGGGAACAGUCCUAUAAUGUUGGUGGGAAUGCAAACUUUUGCAACCUCUCUGGAAAACAGUAUGGAGGUUCCUCAAAAAAUUAAAAAUAGAACUACCCCACAGUCUAGCAAUUGCACUACAGGCAUUUACCCAAAGGACACAAAAAUACUGAUUUGAAGGGAUACAUGCACCCUGAUGUUUAUAGCAGCAUUAUCAACAAUAACCAAACUAUGGAAAGGGCCCAAAUGUAGAUCAACUGAUGAAUAGAUAAAGAAAAGGUGGUAAGUUAUACAAUGGAUAUACAUUCAGCCAUAAACACAAAACAAUGAAAUUUUGCCAUUUGCAAUGAGGUGGAUGGAGCUAGAGUGUAUUAUGCUAAAUGAAAUAAGUCAGUCACUGAAAUACAAAUACCAUAUGAUUUUACUCAAAUGUGAAAUUUAAGAAACAAAACAGAUCAACAUACGUGGGGAAAAAAGAGAGAGAAACCAUAAAACAAACUCUUAACUAUAGAGAACAUACUGAGGAUUGCCGGAGGGGAGGUGGGUCGGGGGAUGGGUUAGAUGGAUAAUGGGUACUAAGGAGGGCACUUGUGAUGAGCACUGGGUGUAUAAGCAAGUGAUUAAUCACUAAAUUCUACUCCUGAAGCCAAUAUCUCACUGUAUGUUAACUAACAAGAAUUUAAAUGAAAACUUGGACAAAAUAAAUUAAAAAAUUAUUAAUACA
rnacentral:lncRNA from 1 species